ACACACACACACACACACACACACACACACAUUUUCCCGCGUUCCAAUCCUUUUGGAUACAGCUUUUACAUUUCAAAGUGAUGUAAAGUGGUGAUCACUUUCUCGUUACAACGGGAGUUAAUUGAACAAUCGCGAUCCUUUGCGUUUAAAGAUAUCAACGGCCAGCGAUCAACAAUCUCAUUAUUUCUUUGUUACACGUUGCAUGGUGAACACAGUAUUUUUAUGAAACUCCCGCUAGAUUAUCUAUCAAAUCAUUUCAAAGUUAUAUUGUUAAAUUACUUUGUUCAAGAAGAAAUUACUGUUAUAUAUUAACGUUUAUCUAUUAUUACUAGAGAGGAGAAAGAAAUUUUGUUUUAAAAGAAAAGCGUGGAGUUGGAGAACGGCGACAGUAUUAGGGUUAAAUUGGAACGUACAAGGGUCGAUUCUGUUUCUCACGGAUAAUUCUUAAGAUACAUGCGAUUAGACGAAAUCAGCCUAGUACGUAUAUACAUACAUAUACAUAUAUAUUAUACACACUCCCACAUAUACACUCGAGUACACAAACAGACAAAAAAAAAUAUAUAUAUAUAUAUAUACAUAUGUAUAAAUAUAAAUAUUAUGAAUUUUACUACGGAUUGCAGUGUGCAUAUGCAAUUUGAUCGAGAAACAACGAGGUCUCGAUAAGCGAUUUGACGAUUUUUGUGAUACCUGUCAAAUAUGUAAACGGCAAAUCGAUCUUCUCGAUAGACGACCACGCUUUUCGUUUGUCUCAGUCAUGGUGUAAUUUCGUACGGACGCCUGUACGAGCGUAUUUUCAACGGAGACAAGACAAAUGCUGCACCAACGACCAUGUUAUUUACACCUCACGCAGAAUGAUUUUCGGCUUAUAUCUAGAGAAAUCGCUGAUCGCGUGCGAGUUGAGCGUUAACGAGGAUUAAACGCAAGAUAAAAGAAAAAAAAGAAAAAAAUGAGUACAAUGAAAUCUAACGUAAAAAAAAAAAAAAAAAAAAAAAAAAAUAGAAAAAAGAAAAGAACAAGAAAAAAAAGAAAGAAUUCAUAAAUAAAAAUAUAACCAGAUGAUGUUAAAGUAUAAAUGUCGCGUUGGAAUCAAAUCGUUGGCGAACGAGCGUCCAGGAUUGACAAUUGAACACACAAAUCGAUUGCAUCGUCCCCUUUUCUUUUGUAUCGUAACAAGAUACUUCGUGAAUUACUUUUACGGAAAUACGAAAAUCCAUUGCGAAAAUCCUGAACAAUUCGAAUAGCGAAAAAGAUCAGCCAUCCGUUAUUAUUUGUUGAAUUUUAAUUUUAAAAAAAUUGUAUCGUUCGUUGCAUCCUCGUCGUUCAAAAUUAGUGAAUAUCGAAUAUCGAAGAUCAAUCGGACGCUUGACGUUCGUUCGACAUAGCAGUUCCAUCGCGACCGAUAUCGCGUGCAAUAAAACAAAAUAUGUAAACAAUAUUAAUAUCAUUAUAUACAACAUUUUUACGGCAUAUACGAAUACGAUGUAGAGAAAUGCAGGUGAAACAAGUUUAGGAUAAUAUUACUUGUUGUUGUCUACCAUAGCGUUGUAGUUAUAUACAAUACAGGUAGAAAAUUAUAGGCAAGCCGAAGCGAAUGUGUGAAAGAACAAAUGCGAGAGCGAAACGUGAGAGAGAGAGAGAGAGAGAGAGAGAUGCGAAUGAGUCGAGAAAGAGAGAGAAGAAAAUUUGAUGCAAUUUGACGAGCGUACAUGUUAUUCUUACUUAAUACAACUAUAUAUAUUCACAUAUAUAUGUAUUAUACAUAUAUCUAUGUGUAUAUAUACAUACAUACAUACAUAAAUACGAGGAAGCUAGUUAUUUAAAAGCAACAACAACCAACAGAAAAAAAAUCAAUGAUUAAUAUUAUAUACAGAAGUCUAUACAUACAAACUUUAAAGAACGUGUGCCUAUGUGCGCACGUGCGUACGCGCGCGUACGUGCGGACACUCGACAACCCCAAAUCCACCCGAUUCUUACUUCCUACUCGAUCAACCAUUCUGCAGCCUCUCUCUUCUUUCUCAAUUCUGACAUCCAUCCAUCCAUCCAUCCCUUCUCUCUGUCCCCUUUCACUCCCAUCCACCCAUCCAUCCAUCCAUCCAUCCAUCCAUUCCUUCCCUCAACCCCUCUGACCAUUCCAUCCCUCAUCCUAUCGCUCUUUUUCUCUCUUUCUAUCUCUCUGUCUCUCCCUCCAUUCUAUUUCACACGCACUUGCGCACAUAUCCAUGACGCAUUAUCGUAGCCGUGUUGUGUAGGGAAUGUCUUUAAUGAAUAAGAUACGAUUUCUCAUGUUACAUGUUAUAAGAAACAAAAAAAAAAAA